CCUACGGGAGGCAGCAGUGAGGAAUUUUCUGCAAUGGGCGAAAGCCUGACAGAGCAAUACCGCGUGAGGGAUGAAGACUUACUGAGUUGUAAACCUCGGUGCCUUAAGGAAGAAGAUCUGACGGUACUUAAGGUGGAAAGCAUCGGCUAACUCCGUGCCAGCAGCCGCGGUAAGACGGGGGAUGCAAGUGUUAUCCGGAAUUACUGGGCGUAAAGCGUCUGCAGGUGGUUUUAUAAGUCUGCUGUUAAAUCUUGAGGCUCAACCUCAAAUCUGCAGUGGAAACUAUAAGACUUGAGUAUAGUAGGGGUAGAGGGAAUUUCCAGUGGAGCGGUGAAAUGCGUAGAUAUUGGAAAGAACACCGAUGGCGAAGGCACUCUACUGGGCUAUUACUGACACUCAGAGACGAAAGCUAGGGGAGCAAAUGGGAUUAGAUACCCCAGUAGUCCUAGCCGUAAACGAUGGAUACUCGAUGUUGGACGUAUCGACCCGUUCAGUAUCUUAGCUAACGCGUUAAGUAUCCCGCCUGGGGAGUACGCUCGCAAGAGUUGAAACUCAAAUGAAUUGACGGCGNGAGAGNGCGACGACGACGACGAGGGAGAGG
rnacentral:rRNA from 1 species